AGCGAACGCUGGCGGCAGGCUUAACACAUGCAAGUCGAGCGCCGUAGCAAUACGGAGCGGCAGACGGGUGAGUAACACGUGGGAACGUACCUUUUGGUUCGGAACAACACAGGGAAACUUGUGCUAAUACCGGAUAAGCCCUUACGGGGAAAGAUUUAUCGCCGAAAGAUCGGCCCGCGUCUGAUUAGCUUGUUGGUGAGGUAAUGGCUCACCAAGGCGACGAUCAGUAGCUGGUCUGAGAGGAUGAUCAGCCACACUGGGACUGAGACACGGCCCAGACUCCUACGGGAGGCAGCAGUGGGGAAUAUUGGACAAUGGGCGCAAGCCUGAUCCAGCCAUGCCGCGUGAGUGAUGAAGGCCCUAGGGUUGUAAAGCUCUUUUAACGGGGAAGAUAAUGACGGUACCCGUAGAAUAAGCCCCGGCUAACUUCGUGCCAGCCGCCGCGGUAA
rnacentral:rRNA from 1 species